ACUCCUACGGGAGGCAGCAGUGGGGAAUAUUGCACAAUGGGCGCAAGCCUGAUGCAGCGACGCCGCGUGGGGGAUGAAGGCCUUCGGGUUGUAAACUCCUUUCGCUAGGGACGAAGCUUUUUUGUGACGGUACCUAGAUAAGAAGCACCGGCUAACUACGUGCCAGCAGCCGCGGUAAUACGUAGGGUGCGAGCGUUGUCCGGAAUUACUGGGCGUAAAGGGCUCGUAGGUGGUUUGUCGCGUCGUCUGUGAAAUUCUGGGGCUUAACUCCGGGCGUGCAGGCGAUACGGGCAUAACUUGAGUGCUGUAGGGGUAACUGGAAUUCCUGGUGUAGCGGUGAAAUGCGCAGAUAUCAGGAGGAACACCGAUGGCGAAGGCAGGUUACUGGGCAGUUACUGACGCUGAGGAGCGAAAGCAUGGGUAGCGAACAGGAUUAGAUACCCGUGUAGUCCCAUGA
rnacentral:rRNA from 1 species